rnacentral:rRNA from 1 species
UACGUAGGUGGCGAGCGUUGUCCGGAUUUACUGGGCGUAAAGAGCGCGCAGGCGGUCGUGCAAGACGGAUGUGAAAGCGCCCGGCUCAACUGGGGAGGGUCAUUCGAUACUGCUCGACUUGAAGGCGGGAGAGGGAAGCGGAAUUCCCGGUGUAGUGGUGAAAUGCGUAGAUAUCGGGAGGAACACCAGUGGCGAAGGCGGCUUCCUGGCCCGUUCUUGACGCUGAGGCGCGAAAGCUAGGUGAGCAAACGGG